CCUACGGGAGGCUGCAGUGGGGAAUAUUGCACAAUGGGGGAAACCCUGAUGCAGCGACGCCGCGUGUGUGAAGAAGUAUUUCGGUACGUAAAGCCCUAGCAGCAGGGAAGAAAAUGACGGUACCUGACUAAGAAGCCUCGGCUAACUACGUGCCAGCAGCCGCGGUAAUACGUAGGGGGCAAGCCUUAUCCGGAUUUAAUGGGUGUAAAGGGAGCGUAGACGGCAGCGCAAGUCUGGAGGUAAAAUCCAUGGGUUAACCAUGGAACUGCUUUGGAAACUGUGCAGCUAGAGUGCAGGAGAGGUAAGCGGAAUUCCUAGUGUAGCGGUGAAAUGCGUAGAUAUUAGGAGGAACACCAGUGGCGAAGGCGGCUUACUGGACUGUAACUGACGUUGAGGCUCGAAAGCGUGGGGAGCAAACAGGAUUAGAUACCCGGGUAGUC
rnacentral:rRNA from 1 species